rnacentral:rRNA from 1 species
CCUACGGGGGGCAGCAGUGGGGAAUAUUGGACAAUGGGCGAAAGCCUGAUCCAGCCAUGCCGCGUGUGUGAAGAAGGCCUUCGGGUUGUAAAGCACUUUCAGUGGGGAAGAAAGCCUUGGGGCUAAUACCCUCGAGGAAGGACAUCACCCACAGAAGAAGCACCGGCUAACUCCGUGCCAGCAGCCGCGGUAAUACGGAGGGGGCGAGCGUUAAUCGGAAUUACUGGGCGUAAAGCGCGCGUAGGCGGUCUGAUAAGCCGGUUGUGAAAGCCCCGGGCUCAACCUGGGAACGGCAUCCGGAACUGUCAGGCUAGAGUGCAGGAGAGGAAGGUAGAAUUCCCGGUGUAGCGGUGAAAUGCGUAGAGAUCGGGAGGAAUACCAGUGGCGAAGGCGGCCUUCUGGACUGACACUGACGCUGAGGUGCGAAAGCGUGGGUAGCAAACAGGAUUAGAUACCCGUGUAGUC